rnacentral:lncRNA from 1 species
UUCCUUAAGAUCUGUCUUAAGUACUUUCGGUUUUCAAUCAUAAAACCGAUACAUAUGAGAUUCGAAUGAAUUAAUUUCAUGGGAAAAAGACACCAAAUUUUUGUUUCCACAAUCUUAUGAGAAACAAGUUGUUGAUCAAUAGUGGAAAAAAAGUAGCAGGUGUUAAAACUUGAAGGACAAUGGAAAAGAAAAGAGGAAAAAGCAAAUUUCUACCUCUUUUAAAGUUGGGUAGAAAAUCAGCUUUAAAGCAAAAAGCAGCCUGCCCUUCUUCUUCUUAUUCUGAAGAGUUUGAGUAGAUACAUACAAUCAAAGACAGCUUGAAAGAUGAAUUCUGAAUUGACAUACUCAUUAUGUUAUCAGAAACAGUAAAAAAAAAGGAGAAAAAAAGAAAAAGAAAAAAAGAAGAAGAUAAAAGAUAAAAAAGUGAGAAAUAAAAAUAAUACACAAUCCAUCAAGAAAAGGAAAAAAGGCACAUCAGCUUGACAUGGAUGUUACAUGUGCAAGUUUAUACUAUUAUGUAUAAUAAAUAUUAUAAUGAAAGGGAUUAAAAGUAUGUCAUAUGUUGUACUAUUUUUUCAGUUCAUUAUGUAAUAUAUCUUCAUCUAAAAAAUUAUAUGAACGAGAACACAAGUAUAUUUUCAGUUGAUAAAUAACAAGAUAAUGUUUUAUUUAGUAAAUUUGUGUAAAUUUUCUGUUCUUACCAAAGUUAACAUCAAUGCAUAAAAUAAUAUUCCAAUUCAUCUGAAGCUAUAUUUCCAUCUUUCUUUUCCAGUUUUAGUUUUAAUAAUCAUUUUUAUUCAGAAAAUGAUUUGGAGGAGAUGGGUAACAAAGGAAAUCUUAAAGCUGCAAUCAUAUAAGCUUAAAAAGGGUGACAAACUCACCGACGAUGAAGAUAAUUAAAGAGUUUUGCUGUGGAAGAAUAUGUUUAAAACCCAUUCUUUACUUACAGAAUGAUUGAUUCAAGCUUUCACCGAAAGUUGACAAUCAUUUCCAAUAAAGAAGUUUUUCCCCCAGUAAAAGAACAGAAAAAAAUAUUGUCCAGAAAAGCACUGAAAAUCAGCUCAUGAAGUUGUGGUUAGACAACGUCAAGAAUGACAUUUUAAGUUGGAAAUUAAUAUUGGCUAGCAAUGUCACUAAAUAGAAGUGGUCCAUAUUGGCUAUUUCUAGCUACUCUACGAGUUAGAAAAAGGCAUUCAUUCUCAAAAGUGUUUUUUCUUUGUAAUGCAUAAAACUAAUAUGGGGAAGAUAGUGUCAACUGGAAACAUCCAAAAACUUCUCCUACUGAAUGAUAAAAAAAAACUGACCUGUUUAGUUGAGAAUUCUG